GAUAUCGCAACGCGUAUGUGUGUGUAUGCAUGCACACAAACAUGUAAACAAACUUCAGUGCCCGCUGUAGUGAUCGCUUGCAUUUGCCUAAACUCAACAAUUUAAAACACCGAAACUACAUAACAGCUAAGAUGCGAGGUGAUAUUCAACCGAAACUCACCUCAAGCACCAGGCUAUCAAUUUGCCUUGUUCGUCAUAAGCACCCACCGAAACGUUGUGGACUAUCAACAAUUUGACAAACUCCACGGAGCCAUCGGCACGAUGUGGCCAGAUUUCAUUAACGGUUGGUGCAUCUUCUAUGUCCAAGCUGCGCAGCUCGAUUCCAGCAGGUGGCCUUUAAAAGACAAGUGUUUAUGAAAUACCCGAAAGGUCUACAAUUAACUAACUUACUCCGCUGAAAAUGUAGCAACCAGCUCUUUGCUGGCACUGUACCAAGCUGUCUGCGUUGUUUGUUGCCGUAAGUUCGGCAAUUGCUUGCUGCAGACCUCUACGGCGGGCAGAAUCCGCUCCCCAUAGGCAGCGAACAAAUAUAUAUCCUCGGCUUUGGAUGUCAAACAGAGCAGCGCACUGGUCAAACGAUCCAGGUUCGAGCUCAGCGUAUUAAAAGAGACUUCUUUGUGGACAGAUAAGUGUUUCUACAAAUCACACACAUCGCACAUUACAUACAUAUUUCUUUCUCAAGGUUUCUCUCUUCUGCAAGCUACGUACAAUCAUCAGGAAGGUGCCAUCGUUUUGCCAGUCCCCGUCAAGCGAGUAGCACUUUAUAUCACUUUUGUCACCAUUGGCCAACCAGUUAAUAUGGUUUUUUAUUAAAUAAUAUCCAUUUGAUUCCGUCUUUUUGCCUUCAUAAAGCUCCAGUAAAGUUUUCCACUCGCAUGGCGCUAUCUCAACGAGCGAAUGCGAAUUAUAUUGCAGCUGCGACAUGUCCGACUCGCCGUAAAGCUGAAACACAACUGACUCUAUGAAGCGGGCACAACGGCCCAAUAUACAUCAUGGACAUGCUUAAAUCCCAGCUUAUCAAACAAUUUUCUAGAUAUUUCAUUGUUGAAGACAAUUGUGGCCAGAACCUCGGCACCAGUUGCUGCAAUUUCCUGAGCCAUAAAACGCACCAACAUCGAGGCCAGCCCAAAACGUCUGUGGGGGGGCAGAACAUAUAAAUUACAUAGGCUGCCGUGUGGAGAUCUAUGCAAGAGAGCCAAGUGCUAAUAACCCAGCAGAUGUCCCUCGCUGUUGAAGGCACCCGCGCUGAUAUUAUGCCGUAUGAGGUUUCUUAUCAAGAUCAAAGAGUCAUUCGAGCGAUAAGGCCAAUGAGCAUCCACUUCGGUAGCAUGUUCGCUGUGCAAGGAACCCAAUUUUAUGUCUGAAAUUGGGCUGAUCAAAAUUGUAAAACAAAAAAAUGUACUUAUAAGAAGUGUCUACUUACCUUAAGUCAAGUGGUUUAAUUUCCGAAUGUGGUAAAUGAUAUACAAAUGUUCCUUGAUGUUCCAGUUGGCCUAAGCUCAGACCUCUGCCCAGCCAAUAAUGUUCCACAACGUGUUUAAAGCGAUUUUCAUAGCCGCAAAAUAAAUGUCUCAUAUUCA